UCGCUGCAAGGAGAAAGGCUGGAGGUUUGGGCCAGGGUGGAGCCAGAGAGUCCCCGCCGGCGCGGGGAGGCGGGCAGGAGUCUAAAGCGUGAAUUAACUUGGCGCGGAGGAGGCGCCGCGAGCCGCAGCGUACGGGUUUCCCGUCUUGCCAGAGCCCACAGGGGCCGCUGGCCUGGGGAAGGGGGAGGGAGAGAGGGAGGGCAGGUCCCGAGCAGAAAGGGUGGAGGAGGGGGGAAAGUGAAGGAAAUGAGACAACCUUUUCCUCCCACUUACUCGGGCUUCUCCAGCGUUUGCGGGGCUAGGCUCGGCAACUCGUGAGCGCGGAGGUCAGGACCCCGCGUCCCCAGCUCAGCCCAGACUCCGACGGGCAGCCAGAUUUCUCUCCGAGGCGCGGGUGGCAGCCCAAGCCCGGAGCAGUACUUUGUCGCGUUCUCCCCUCACUGAUCGGCUCUGGGUCUCACCGCUCUGCUCCGGAGCUCCCGGAGCGCAGUCCCCGGAAGUGCGCGCCGGCGGUCCCGGCGAAGAAGCCAUCUGGGAAGCCAACUGGGGCCAACCAAGUUUAGAAGCUUUACUGGCUGAAAUCAACAUCAUCAGGGAUGACCUCUUCUUACCAGCUAAUUCUCUGCUUCUGACAGCACACCAGACUCCAGAAGAGGGAGAGUGCCACAUCGAUUCAGCUGAGCGUCUCCCAGGAGUCCUCCUCUGGAUGCCACAUGAAGCUGCCCCUCAGCCUCAGCACAGACCCAGUGAUCGUGGAGCACGCAGAGGCAGAGAUGAAUUUCCUCACCAGCAUCCUUGCCACCUAUUCCUUUGUCUCUAUGAACGCAUCACAAAAUGAAGUAGAGGACAGAGAGGGUCUGGAGUUUCCAAGGUUCCUAAGGACACCUGAAAUUCAAGUGUUGCAAGAAUAUGUCUCUGGUAACAUCAAACAGAGUACUGGACUUUGGAGCUCUACUGUGCACAGGUACCUGGCAGUUUUCCACUUAGGGUAUCAUGACCCUGAAUUGUGACCACUGAAUGUGGUAACUCAUUGAAUGGUUUGGUGUUUAUCAUCUUGUGACCUUGUCAAGUCUGAAAGUGUACAGCGCGCUAUUUCACUGUCCCCCCAGCUUUCCUUCUUUCGACCCCACACUCUGGAACUAAAUACUGCAUGGGAUCCAGGAAGCAAUGCUUCUUUGAAGUAGGUAUGGGCUAAGAAUAAAGGAUAAUGCAAGGAAGUGGAAAGUAGAGUGGCUAAAAUAAGAUUUGUCAGUAAAUAGACUUGAUGGAAAAUUGAUUCUGAGAUGAGGAAUGCUCCUGAAAAAAAAGAAAAUGCAUAAAGAAAUUUUAAAAUAUGAAAGUGAACAUAAUAGAUGCAAAUAAUCAUUUUUUAAAGAAGAAAAUACAAUAAAUGGAGUGGAAACAAUGAUGGAAAUAUGAUAGGAGAAAAUUGUGGAAAAUACCCCAAUCUUUAGCUCCCUCAUGUUCUCUUAGUGCUGUAUGGUCUUUUUCAUUAGUCAGAGGCCUCUGUCCCCUCCUAUUCUGCUCCCCCCUCCAGUGUGCCUGUUAUAUGAUGGUUAAUCUUGAGUGCCAACUUGACUGGAUUGAGAGAUGCCUGGAAAACUGGUAAGAGCACACUUCUGGGUAUGCCCAUAAACAGUUGACAUGUGGGUCAGUGAACUAAAUGGGGAAAGAUCUUCCCUGAAGGUGGGCAGCAUCAUCCCAUAGACAGAGAGCAAAGAGAAGGAAAAGAAAGGUGGAAGAAGAGGUAAGCUUGUGCACGGGCACACUCCAUUCUCCUUGAACAGGUGCUUUUCUCACUGCUGCCACUGCCCAUGGACAUCAGACUGUAGAUUCUUCAGCCUUUGUAUAUAGACUUGCAGCAACUCUAUAGGGGGCUUCCACACUAUCAGCUUUGCACCAGUACUACAUCGUUAUCAGUCCAUCUGUCCCUCUUGUUCUGAGGCUUCCAGAUUCUUGCACUGAGCAUAUAUACUGGUUUCCACUGUUCUCCAGGAUGCACAUGGUAAUUCAGACUCUGAUUGUGUAAUAAUAAAUGUAUUUAAUAAAUUGUUUCAUAAUUAUAUACAUAAUGUGUAUGAUUAUAUAUACCAAAUUUACUAAUACAUACAUCUGCCUUAUUCCUCUGUCCAGCUUCUGAUUAAGUCAAUAGAUGAAACCCUAACUCUGAGUAAAUCUUACUUAUUUUGUGUGUGUGUGUUUGUGUGUGUGUGUGUAUAUGUGUACACAUGUGCAUACAUAGGUGUAUUCUGUGUUUGGGAGCUAUGUGAGAUGUUUGGGAGAGAGGGAGAAAGAAAACAUGGGAGUCUAGGAGAGUCUGAUGUUGGCCCUUCCUUGUUUCAUAGCUGUACUCUUUAGGAAGAUGGCUGGCUUUCUCUUCAAGGUCAUUUCGGGAGACCAGGUGCUAUUUAUAGGAAAGCAACGAUUUAAAAGGCAAAAGAUUUAUGCGAUCUGAAGAGAAACCAGAGUAUAAGGAACCAUUUAAAAACACAUUGAAAUGCUCCAUAUUUUGAAUGACUGAACUGCUUCUGUGUUUCUUGAGUACAUCUUGUUUCUAUUCUUCAUAAUAGCUUCAAACCUCAACUAUUCCAAUAAUGUUAAAAAAAAAAUCUACUUAACAAAAUGCUCACUAAAAAUAAAUGACAAGUGAUAAACUUUUUUUAUUUUUAAGAAACAAUUACAAAAUUAAUGAUUAUUAGUGUUUGUAACAUAUAAAGAGCUCUUACAAAUCAGUAAGUGACCCAAAGGAAAAAAUGACAAAGGGUAAGAAGUAGCAGUUUGCAAAAGGAAAAAUACAAAUUGCCAAUAAAACAUUUAACAGUUUUAAUUCCACCAAAUAAAUCCAAACUGGAAACAACAGUGAAAUUCACAUUUUUAUUUUGUAAAACUCUUAAAGAUCUGAGUGAUUAGGUAUAUAAGUAACCUCAGUUUUGGAGAAAUGUGGAAAUUUGAGUACUUGCACACAAUGCUGAUUGAAUUGUAAAUUGCUGUAACCACUCUAAAGAAUGAUUUGGCAAUAUCUAUCAAAAGCCUUGAAAGGACUGAGAUGUGCUAGGUACAUGUACCAACUCCCCACAAGGAAUGUAAUUAUUAUGUAAUGCAAACAUGUAGUAAUAAAAAUAAAAACUGACAAAAAAAGAUAUCAUUUAUUUAGUCAGUAGUACCAUGGCUAGGAAUUUCUUCUAAGAAAAUAAUUAAAGAUCUGAGCACAAAUACUGCUAUGAGGACAAUUAACCUCAGAAUUGUUUAUAUAAUGAAAAAUAAAAAGUAAAUAUUAAUUGAAAUAGAUGAGUAUGAUGUGCUAUUAAAUGAAUAAAACCAAUUACCACAGAACACCUGCAGUAUAAUCCCAUUAUUUGUGUAUAUUCAUAUAUAAAGUAACCAUAUUUUAUUGUGAUUUUUAUCUGAGUGCUGAUUAUAUGGGUUUGUAUCUGUGUAUUUUUUGUUUCCUUUUGCUUAGCUGUAUUUUAAAUAUUCUAUAACUCAUCAGUGUUACUUUGUAAUAACAGAUGCUAUUUUAUUAGAAUAUUAAUUUUCGUUUAAAUCAUACAUGAGACAGUUGCCAUUCCUUUACAUUUUAUGGCUCCCUGAUCUGUGUAAGUAUCCUGAAAAUAAACCAUUUGGAUGUACUAUAGCAUUCCAAAUUCAACCUGC